rnacentral:rRNA from 1 species
UACGUAGGGGGCAGGCGUUAUCCGGAUUUACUGGGUGUAAAGGGCGUGUAGCCGGGCUGACAAGUCAGAUGUGAAAUCCGGGGGCUCAACCCCCGAACUGCAUUUGAAACUGUUGGUCUUGAGUAUCGGAGAGGCAGGCGGAAUUCCUAGUGUAGCGGUGAAAUGCGUAGAUAUUAGGAGGAACACCAGUGGCGAAGGCGGCCUGCUGGACGACAACUGACGGUGAGGCGCGAAAGCGUGGGGAGCAAACAGG